rnacentral:lncRNA from 1 species
UUUUUUUUUUUUUACAGUUUUAUAAAUGGCCAAGCGUUUAAUUUCUGGCCCGUUAUUUGGCCAGUGUCAAACUGACAUAAAGAAAUGCUCAUGAGUGCUUUCUAGAAGAAAUCUUUACAAUAUUUGAUGGUCAAACUUUUUAAAGGAUGCAAACUUUCAUUUUAGAGAGUUUAAUGCUAUAGAAACUAUUAUCACCUGUCUCCUGCACCCCCAGGUAUGUUCUAUGAAACAGCUGAUACCACACUUAUUUAAAAUAUUAUAUACCCUUGCUUCUAAUUUGACACAUUGUAUUCUUUUAUUCCUUAAACUUUCAUCUUUUAAUAGGAAAUAACUGUCUAAGUCAUAUUCAAUUUUCUGCAAAGAGGGCUUUUUUCUAAAUUAGAAAUAGAGAAUUACAAAUUAAGUUACAGUUGGAUGAAAGGUUGCCUAAAGCCUAUUUGCCAUUAAUGGUUUUGACCUCAGGAAACAAGAAAACAGAACAACUUUUAGUCCAUUAAUUUUAAAUUGCUGAUGCCAGCAACAGAAAGGAAGAAAGGGAGAGAGGAAGGAAGGAAGAAGGAAGGAGGAAAGGAAGGAAGGAAGGGGGGGGAGGAAGGGAAGGAGGAGGGGAAGGGAGGGGGAGGAAGGAAGGGAAGUAGGAGGUGGGAGGAGAGGGAGGAAGGAAGGGAAGUAGGAGGUGGGAGGAGAGGGAGGAAGGAAGGGAAUAGGAGAGGGGAAGGGGGGAAGGAAGGGAAGGAGGUGGGGAGGGAGGGGGGAGGAAGAGAAGUAGGAGGGGGGAGGGGGAGGGAGAGGGAAGAAGGAAGGGAAGUAGGAGGGGGAAGGGGAGAGAAGGGGAGGGAAGGGGAGGGGGGAAGGAAGGAGGAAGGGGGAAAGGAAGGAAGGAGGGGGAAAGAAGGGGAGAAGGAAUAAAAUAGGAAGAAGAAACUGGAUAGGAAAAAAAGGGAAUCGAAACAAUAGAAUCGUUUUUAUAUCAAAACGGAGUGUCCCCGCAGGCGAGAGAUGACCCAGUAGUGUUUUGUUUCUUGCUCUGGUCUUGCUUCUUAUUAGGGACUGAAUUCUGUGCCCCCCGCCCCACCUCCGCUGAUGGAAGUCGUGGCCUCAGAAGAAGAGGAAGAGGCACGGGGCUCUCUCUCUCCCACGUGAGCCAAGGUGAGAAGGUGGCCACCUACAAGCCUGGAAGGGGACCCUCCCCGGAACCUGACGAUGCGGGCAGCCUAAUCUCAGACUUGCAGCUUCUGACUGGGAGGAACAGACCUGUGCUGUUCAAGCCCCCAGUCUGCAGUAUUUUGUUACGGCCACAUGAGCUGGCUAGGACUCUUCUUUGCCCCUUUGUACUCCAGGGGGUGGGCUCUGGCCGGCUCCUAAGACCUUACCUGAGGACCCACUCCGCAGGGCUCAGCUUGCUGGGCUGCGCGUGUGAAGGUUAAAAUCCCGACCUCAGAGUAUCUGGACCCAGACACCCAUCGGGAGGGGGGCUUGUUUCCUCUUGCUGUGCAUCUGCUCACAUAGUGCAGAAAAGGCUGCCCAGAGCCAAGGCAAGAAGACCAAGGGGAGCUAUUCCACCCAACAGCCUUCCUGCAAAUAUCGAACAACAGUUGUGGGUUUACCAGCCUUUUGCACUGCUGUCCUGAAACGGACCGUAAAACAAAUACUCUUCGUUUUCUGCCUGCUACUCAGACCACACACUCGUUUGUUUCUAUCAGACAAAACUCGCUCUUCGGUCUUUAUUCCCACCCGUUCUAGCCUGUGACUGUGCAAUUCUAAGGACUAACUUCCAAGUGCAUUCUUAAGAGAAAGGAGCUCACAUCUUUAUCUUCCAAUAUUUUGCCACCAACCUGGGCAGCUUCAGUUUUAGAAGUUUACCUUUUAAACUGGUCGCAGUUCAAACACAUUGCUUGUGUUAGGCUAAAUGGGGUGGUGGUGGCGGUGGAAACAGACACAGUCCCGACUGUGAUAAGUGGAAUGAAUGUUAUUGCCUUGUUUUCACAAUCUUGACCCCACGAGAGCGGCAUUAUAAGACAGUUGGAUUUAUCUGGUACUUAAAAUCUAAAACACAGGCUGUUUUUUUUUAUUUGUUAUUUUUAAAAGAUUAGAAAACAGUUCAUUGAUAGAACUAAAUUUAUACUGUAUUAUACGUAAGAAAAGUACACUUAGCAAUUUCCUUAAGUAUAAACAAAAUAUCCAUCAAUCUCUUUUUUUAAAAAUUGAAGUAUAGUUGAUUUACAAUGUUGUAUUAGUUUCAGGUGUACAGCAAGGUGAUUCAAUUAUACAUAUACAUAUUUAUCUAUUUUUUUUCCAGAUUCUUUUCCCUUACAGUUUAUUAAGAAGUGCUGAGCAGCGUUCCCUAUACAGUAGGACCUUGUUGGUUAUCUACUUUCUGUACAGUAGUGUGUAUAUCUCAAUCCCAAACUCCUCAUUUAUGCCUCCCUACCUCUAGCAAUCUUGUUUUACAUAAUGGUAAAGAUUAGGGGCUGAUUCAGGUUCUGCAGAGCCUGAAGCUUAACAGUUUUUUACACCUCCUUUAACAAAAAGAGUUCAAAACGACAUGGAGUUCCUAUUGUGGCUCAUCAGGUUAAGGACCCCACGACUAUCCAUGAGGAUGCGCUGUUUGAUCCCUGGCCUCACUCUGUGGGUUAAGGAUCUGGCGUUGCCGUGAGCUGUGGUGUAGGUUGCAGAUGUGACCCCUGGCCUGGGAUCUUCCACAUGUCACAGAUGCAGCCCUAAAAAGCAAAAAAAAAAAAAAAAAANAAA